GGCGGUGCAGGGCAGGUGAGCCCACCGAUGAUGGGCUAAAGACAAGAUCUUUACAGCGCAUGACGGAAAAGAACUGAUUACCGAUACACGAACACCAAUCUUUGCAAAUUAUCAUCGAAGCAUAAAUCGAUAUAUCUUCGUGAAUAGACAAUGAAUAAUAUCCUGCAGAAUAAGUAAAAUAGACUGUCCUUUUUCAAUAUGAUUAAUUCUAUUAAGCAGUUUCUACUAGGCUAAUAUUCCUCCUGAGUUUCAUAUGUAUAAUACUUAUAACAAUACCUUUACUAAUAAGUAUAAAUAAAUCUCGGUUUCUGAGGUUUCUUAUACAUGUAUAUUGUGAAUAAAUUUUUCAAACUUUGAGCAGAUUAAGUUGGUUGGGUUUAAAAGCAAGCGACGUUCUUGUCAACACGGGGACUGGAUUAAAAGUUUGUG
rnacentral:lncRNA from 1 species